rnacentral:tRNA from 1 species
GCCGGGAUGGCGGAACAGGUAGACGCAGCGGACUCAAAAUCCGCCGGUGGUAACACCGUGAGGGUUCGACUCCCUCUCCCGGCA